rnacentral:rRNA from 1 species
CAGUCGCCGCGGUAAUACGAAGGGUGCAAGCGUUAAUCGGAAUUACUGGGCGUAAAGCGCGCGUAGGUGGUUUGGUAAGAUGGAUGUGAAAUCCCCGGGCUCAACCUGGGAACUGCAUCCAUAACUGCCUGACUAGAGUACGGUAGAGGGUGGUGGAAUUUCCUGUGUAGCGGUGAAAUGCGUAGAUAUAGGAAGGAACACCAGUGGCGAAGGCGACCACCUGGACUGAUACUGACACUGAGGUGCGAAAGCGUGGGGAGCAAACAGGAUUAGAUACCCCGGUAGUCCCUGUCUCUUAUAC